rnacentral:rRNA from 1 species
UACGAACCGUGCGAACGUUAUUCGGAAUCAUUGGGCGUAAAGAGCGCGUAGGCGGCCCUGUAAGUCCGCUGUGAAAGUCAAGGGCUCAACCCGGGAACUGCGUCCGAUACUGGAAGGCUUGAAUCCGGGAGAGGGAUGUGGAAUUCCAGGUGUAGCGGUGAAAUGCGUAGAUAUCUGGAGGAACACCGGUGGCGAAGGCGACAUCCUGGACCGGUAUUGACGCUGAGGCGCGAAAGCCAGGGGAGCAAACGGG